rnacentral:rRNA from 1 species
GACGAACGCUGGCGGCGUGCUUAACACAUGCAAGUCGAACGGAAAGGCCCUGCUUUUGUGGGGUGCUCGAGUGGCGAACGGGUGAGUAACACGUGAGUAACCUGCCCUUGACUUUGGGAUAACUUCAGGAAACUGGGGCUAAUACCGGAUAGGAGCUCCUGCUGCAUGGUGGGGGUUGGAAAGUUUCGGCGGUUGGGGAUGGACUCGCGGCUUAUCAGCUUGUUGGUGGGGUAGUGGCUUACCAAGGCUUUGACGGGUAGCCGGCCUGAGAGGGUGACCGGCGACAUUGGGACUGAGAUACGGCCCAGACUCCUACGGGAGGCAGCAGUGGGGAAUAUUGCACAAUGGGCAGAAGCCUGAUGCAGCAACGCCGCGUGCGGGAUGACGGCCUUCGGGUUGUAAACCGCUUUCGCCUGUGACGAAGCGUGAGUGACGGUAAUGGGUAAAGAAGCACCGGCUAACUACGUG